GGAACCUGAUCCUCGGUAGCGAAGGGCUGGAGGCAAACACCGAGCUCCCCCUGAGCCGCCUGGGAGCAGGGAGGGUUCUGCUACCCUGAGGGGCCCUCCCCGCGGGGCAGAGGGGUUUCCUCAGCAGUGCCCCGGAGCAGGGACCGCGCCAGCCAGCAGAAACAGCUAGUUGUUGUCUGCAGUGAAGAAUAAUUGGAAGCAUGGUGCCUGUUUCUUUUCCUGUGGGAGGAAGUCACAGCAUCUACUUCUGAAUCUGUGCUUGCCUUGAGGAAAAACGGCAUGGCACAGGAAUGUGGACGCUUUCAACCAGAGGAUUCUGUACGACGGUGUCGGCACACAAGGAGCCAAGAAUAGGACAGCUUGGGAAGGUGAGCUGCGUAUAGCUCGUCAGGCUGAGCUCAUCCUCGUCUACGGCCAAACGUUGGUUUCUCAUUUCUAGAAGAUGAAAGAUGUGAUGACUCAGGAAAAACUGGAAUCUUAGUAACUGUGGUGGGCAUUGAGCCUUGCCGUCCACAAGAGAAAGCUUGCUGCUCGAGAUGUGAGUCUUCAGAUGUUCCUGCCGCCAUAUCUGACAGCUGCUGCCAAGAUUCCCUGGUGGGAUGGACUCUUAUACCUCAACAACCAGAAGCCCAAGUAAACUCUUCUAUAAAUUGAAUGACUCAUGCUUAAAAAAAAAAACAAAAAACAAACUAUCUUUAUUUUGUGUGCAUUGGUGUUUUGCCUACAUAUAUGUCUGUGUGAGAGUGUCAGAUUCCUUGGAACUGUAGCUACAGAUAGUUGUGAGCCACCAUGUGGGUGCUGGGACUUGAACCCCAGUCCUCUAGAAGAGCAGCUGGUAGGUACUCUUAACCACUGGACCAUCCCUCUAGACCCUGAUCAUGGUGUUUUAACUACAGCAAAAGAAAAGUAAUUAGCACAAUCAGGUUAGCCAGAGGGCACACCUGUGACAGAUUUUUCCUAAGUGCAUUCAUCAGGGGGAGGCCCACCCUGGAUGGGGGCAGCACCCUUCCUUGGGUUUGGGUCUUAGAAAGAAUAAACACAGAGAGGGAGCUGAGCACAAGCCAGCAAGCACAAGCUAAGCAAGCACUGUCCAGUCUUCCUCUGCUUUGACUGAGGAUGUGACGUGUCUAGCUGCUUCAGGUUUCUGCCUCGAAUCCCCUGCAGUCAUAGACUAUAACCUGGAAUUGUGAGCCAAAAGAAAAACAAAAGAAAACAAAAUCCAUUUUCUCCCCAUAUGUUGCUUUUUGGUCAAAGCAUUUGAUCCCAGUAACAGAAAAGAAAUGAGGACAGGCAAGAAGAGGCCAUACCACAGAGCCAGGAGCAGGUUGUAGUGCCAAGUUGCAGAGGCCGGGGAGGAGCAUAGGUGCAGAGCAGCCGCUGUCAGAAUGUUCAGGGAAAAGGAGAAGAGAGGAUGUGUCAGGGAAGUGAGCUGGCUCAGUCCAUAACAGCAUGGUCUUGCUGUCUUUUACAGGGUCUGAAGUCUACCUUAGUGCAGUGGGAGCCACUAACUGUCCUAGUAUGAAGGAAGGAUAUUGAUGUUUUUUGGGCAUGUAAGUGUGUGUGUGUGUGUGUGUGUGUGUGUGUCCCCAUACUCUAGGGACUGAGCCUCCUCACCCAUGUACCACACAGCUUCAGUCCCAGUCCCAUAUUUUGUUUUCAAUCAAACUUUAUACAAAUGUUUCUCAAGAAAAUUAUAAGUUACUUCUUUUAUUUCUCAUUAAUAAUAUUUUGGGGUUUUUAUUUAAUAAAUUUUAAAGCAAGAUGAGCAUUUCAUAAAAGAAAUCAGCUUCAUCCUGACUCAGACUUUCCCACCAGACAUAACCAGAAUCCUAGAGGAAGUUACAAGUUAGUUAAAGUUAGGACUCUGUUCCUAGUCAAUUCCGUUUCUAGAACACCUAACACAUGGUGUCCAGCCCAAGUACAAAACAUCU
rnacentral:lncRNA from 1 species